UGGGGAAUUGUUCACAAUGGGCGCAAGCCUGAUGACGCAACGCCGCGUGGGGGAUGAAGGUCUUCGGAUCGUAAACCCCUGUCGAAUGGGACGAAAGACUCGCGAGUGAAUACUUCGCGAGAGUGACGGUACCGUUAAAGGAAGCCACGGCUAACUCUGUGCCAGCAGCCGCGGUAAUACAGAGGUGGCAAGCGUUGUUCGGAAUUACUGGGCGUAAAGGGCGCGUAGGCGGCCCUCUAAGUCAGACGUGAAAUCCCCCGGCUUAACCUGGGAACUGCGUCUGAUACUGGAGGGCUUGAGUAUGGGAGAGGGAUGUAGAAUUCCAGGUGUAGCGGUGAAAUGCGUAGAUAUCUGGAGGAAUACCGGUGGCGAAGGCGGCAUCCUGGACCAUUACUGACGCUGAGACGCGAAAGCGUGGGGAGCAAACGGGAUUAGAUACCCCUGUAGUCCCUGAGCGGGCUGGCAAGGCGCAU
rnacentral:rRNA from 1 species